UCAUAUCUUGAUCUUCACCCAACGGCAUCAAGGUCUCAGCAUUAAAUCCUGAUGUUGCUUCACCAAUUAUUCCAACUCUAUACCAACAAUAAAAGCUGUUACUGAAUCGAUCAGAUCAGCGCUGAGCCUCUGCAUACAAAGUUACACAUUUUAAUUCAACUUGUUGAUAAAAAGGAUAUCAGGUCACCUUCAGGAUGCUUUGGGCGAAUGGCUGGAUUGAAUGUGUCAGAUCGCAGCAACCUGCAGAAUAUAAGAACCUCUGUUACUGAUUGCCAGCAAUAAGGUGAAUCUUUUGUUCUGUCAUUGAGGCAAUUAUUCUUAGCCACAGUCUUGAUAUCAUUUAUUGUGAUGGUGUUAUGUUCUGAUGUGAUUGC